GACGAACGCGGCGGCGUGCCUAAUACAUGCAAGUAGAACGCUGAAGGAGGAGCUUGCUCUUCUGGAUGAGUUGCGAACGGGUGAGUAACGCGUAGGUAACCUGCCUGGUAGCGGGGGAUAACUAUUGGAAACGAUAGCUAAUACCGCAUAAUAUUGACUAUUGCAUGAUAGUCAAUUGAAAGGUGCAAAUGCACCACUACCAGAUGGACCUGCGUUGUAUUAGCUAGUUGGUGGGGUAACGGCUCACCAAGGCGACGAUACAUAGCCGACCUGAGAGGGUGAUCGGCCACACUGUGACUGAGACACGGCCCAGACUCCUACGGGAGGCAGCAGUAGGGAAUCUUCGGCAAUGGACGGAAGUCUGACCGAGCAACGCCGCGUGAGUGAAGAAGGUUUUCGGAUCGUAAAGCUCUGUUGUAAGAGAAGAACGAGUGUGAGAGUGGAAAG
rnacentral:rRNA from 1 species